rnacentral:rRNA from 1 species
UCAAUGAAUAAUUUAAUAGCCGCAAUUUUAUUGUGCUAAGGUAGCAUAAUCAUUUGUUUUUUAAUUUAAAACUAGAAUGAAUGGUUCAACAUUUAAAUUUCUAUUUAAAUAUUAAAUUAUAAAAUUAUAUUAAAUAUAAAAAUAUAUUUAUAUAAAAUUUAGACGACAAGACCCUAUUGAACUUAACUUAUGUUAAGCUGGGGCAGCUUUUUAAUUAAUAUUUUAAAAUUUAAAUUUCAACAUAUUUACCCAAAAUUUUUGGAAUUAUAAUCAAGUUACCAUAGGGAUAACAACGUAAUUUUUAUAAAAAGUCCUUAUUUAAAUAAAAGUUUGCGACCUCGAUGUUGAAUUAAAUU